AGUGAACGCUGGCGGUAGGCCUAACACAUGCAAGUCGAACGGCAGCACAGUAAGAGCUUGCUCUUACGGGUGGCGAGUGGCGGACGGGUGAGGAAUACAUCGGAAUCUACUUUUUCGUGGGGGAUAACGUAGGGAAACUUACGCUAAUACAGCAUACGACCUACGGGUGAAAGCAGGGGAUCUUCGGACCUUGCGCGAUUGAAUGAGCCGAUGUCGGUUUAGCUAGUUGGCGGGGUAAAGGCCCACCAAGGCGGCGAUCCGUAGCUGGUCUGAGUGGAUGGUCGGCCACAUUGGAACUUGGACGCGGUCCAUGCGCCUACGGGAGGGAGCAGUGGGGAAUAUUGGGCAAUAGGCGCAAAUCUGAUCCAGCCAUACCGCGUGGGAGAAGAAGGCGUUGGGGGUGUGAAGCCCUUUUGUUGGGAGAGAAAAGCAUCAGGUUAAUACCCCGCUGUUCUGACGGUAACCAAAGAAUAAGCACCGGCUAACUUCGUG
rnacentral:rRNA from 1 species